UACCAGCACCCCGAGUGGUCGGGACGAUUAUUGGGCCUAAAGCAUCCGUAGCCGGUUCUACAAGUCUUCCGUUAAAUCCAACUGCUUAACAGAUGGGCUGCGGAAGAUACUAUAGAGCUAGGAGGCGGGAGAGGCAAGCGGUACUCGAUGGGUAGGGGUAAAAUCCGUUGAUCCAUUGAAGACCACCAGUGGCGAAGGCGGCUUGCCAGAACGCGCUCGACGGUGAGGGAUGAAAGCUGGGGGAGCAAACCGG
rnacentral:rRNA from 1 species